GCCAUUAUGUGCAGCAAUCAUAGAGCAUUUACAGCCUAUCUUCUAGAAGAAGAUGGCUGCCAUUGCCAUUGUCAAAGAGGGCUGCUAGGUGCAGCCACCAUUGUUGAAGAAGAGCUGGAGUUGGCAGCCACCUUUGUUGAAGAAGAGCUGGAGUUGGCAGCCACCAUUAUUGACCAAAGAACAAAUGGAGAAGCACCAUGGAUGCCUAUAAAUAGAGGCAUACGGUUGAGAGCAAAAUGAGAGAGUGUGUAGAGCCAAAGAUGUGAGAAAUGUAGGAGAGAGUGGACUGCCAAGGCAGCCAGCAGUAGCUGCCAUUGCAGCACUGAAAAGAGAGAAAUAGAGUGAGGUUGAGAGUUGCCAAAGAGGGGAUGAUUCCUCCUCCUCUAUUGUUGUAAAUCUUGUUCUCUCCCUAUAUAAUCAAAUGGCUUCUCCCGUGGAUGUAGGCGGUUUGCCGAACCACGUUAAAUAUUGUGUCAGUGUGCUUAGCCUCCAAUGGGCAAAUAUCAGAACAUCACCGGUCGGAAUUCCCUACAAUUGGUAUCAGAGCUUAUGGUUUGAAGUGGUGUUUGAUUUUUGCUCAAAAAUGAAAGUUGUCAAAAUUGUGUUUUGACCAUACCACCGUGUAGAGGAGGACGAGACAAAGCCACUGGUGAAAACGACGUCAAAAUCGGACGUCGGACAUGGCCGCACUCUCCAUCACUCUCCGGCAAGGCGUUUGCCCACGCGCGCAGACGCGCCCCACGCGUCUUCUUCACCCGGAUGGGUUGCCCGACCCGAAUACCAGAUGACCCGACCCAUGUGACUGACCCGGAUAUUGAUGAUGUCAGCAUGACGUAUUUGUGACAUCAUCAUGCACAGUAGGCAUGCCAUGUCAGCGACCAGUCAGCUGCCACGUCAGCACAAUGGAACCCACCUGCCACAUCAUCAGCCGCGAGCCGAGCCAAGUCGAGCCGAGUUGAGCCGAGCCGUUGUGAAACCGAGCCGAGCCGCGAGCCGAGGGAUAAGAUUCUGUGCAGCAGAGUCUAUGUGCAACCGGAUCUGAGAUUGAAUCUGGGCCGUUCAUCAGGCCAGAAUUGUUUUGAUCAAAUCUUAACCGUCUGAAAUGCGAUUUGAACGAUUUCAGACUUGUUUCCAGCUAAUUU
rnacentral:lncRNA from 1 species